rnacentral:rRNA from 1 species
UGAGGAAUAUUGGUCAAUGGGCGCAAGCCUGAACCAGCCAUGCCGCGUGCAGGAAGAAGCAUCUAUGGUGUGUAAACUGCUUUUAUACAGGAAGAAACAACUCUACGUGUAGAGUCUUGACGGUACUGUAAGAAUAAGGACCGGCUAACUCCGUGCCAGCAGCCGCGGUAAUACGGAGGGUCCAAGCGUUAUCCGGAAUCAUUGGGUUUAAAGGGUCCGUAGGCGGUCUUAUAAGUCAGUGGUGAAAUCUCCUAGCUCAACUAGGAAACUGCCAUUGAUACUGUAAGACUUGAAUACUUGUGAAGUAACUAGAAUAUGUAGUGUAGCGGUGAAAUGCUUAGAUAUUACAUGGAAUACCAAUUGCGAAGGCAGGUUACUAACAAGUUAUUGACGCUGAUGGACGAAAGCGUGGGGAGCGAACAGGAUUAGAUACCCUGGUAGUCCACGCCGUAAACGAUGGAUACUAGCUGUUCGGAGCAAUCUGAGUGGCUAAGCGAAAGUGAUAAGUAUCCCACCUGGGGAGUACGCACGCAAGUGUG